rnacentral:misc_RNA from 1 species
AAGUCGUAACAAGGUUUCCGUAGGUGAACCUGCGGAAGGAUCAUUAAAGAAACUUCGCCUCCGGGCGGAGUCCUUCUAAACCCGUGUCUACCUUACCUUUGUUGCUUUGGCGGGCCGCCUUCGGGCGUCGGCUCCGGCUGACAGCGUCCGCCAGAGGACCCAACUCUUUUGUUUAGUGAUGUCUGAGUACUAUAUAAUAGUUAAAACUUUCAACAACGGAUCUCUUGGUUCUG